CAGUCACUGUGUGAAAUGAUGGCUGAGCUAAAAGAAGCCAGUAAGUAGCUGUGAAUGGCAUGGCUAUAGUAAUACAGGAUUACAUGGGAUGUGUACAGUGUCAGUGUCAGUAUUGAACAUGGUGCAUGAGAACAAGGAAAACAAUAUGACAUUCAGGGAGGAGAUUUAUUAAAGUGGUAAAAGCUGACACCAAGUCACCAAAUGUAAUGUGAAUUCUAACACCAUUGGCUAACAUGGGGAUUGCUCAAUGCUAGGAUUUUACAUCACCUUUCAAAAUAUCUUCAACUUCAAAUUAUAGCAAAUUAAUAAUAAUAAUAUUUAUAUAUAUAUAAAUUCAAAGCCAAUAUGUGACUGUAGUUGAGUAGGCAAAUGUUUCCACGUUGUUUUUGUUAUUUGGAUUUCAGUUUGUGAUAAUUCACUGUCCACAGAUUGAAGUGGUGAUGGUGCCUGGAGUCUGCUGGUGCUGGGACCUGCCUCACAACUAAUUGGCUUACUCACUGUUCAGUAGAGAUUUUCAGUCCUCGUCAGCCUGAAGCCCAGUUUCUGAUAACAAUAUGGCAGAGACGGAGCUCUGCUAUGCUUCACACCAAAUCAGGGGUAAUAGUCAGUGAUUGGCUGAGAGUGUCGGCUGAGAGUUCUCGACUAAUCACAGCCCCAGUCCAAAUUAUGAAAGGAUAUGGAGUGAAGUGGAAAUAUAGCUCCAACUCCGGCAUCGCUAUUGGAGGCCAAGCUUCAGGCUGCUAGUGAAUGUCUCUACCUGGCACCUGCAUAUUCCAUUGAGUUAAUGUUAGUGAGUAAUUUUCUGCAAGUUACUUAUUACACUCAACUUUAAAUAAACUGUUCUUACGUUGCUUCCAAGUGAGAACUUAAUAAACUCCACUGGAUUUAAACAGUUGUUUACAUGACAGAGGGGAACAGAGGAAAGCAGUGCCUUAAAAGUAUCCUCAAAAUCCAAUCAGAAAAAUUCAAUUUUAAAAGAGAGGACAAAAACGAAAUAUAGUGUAGUAUUUAAAAGUUCUUGAGAUAAAUUAAAGGAACAGCACCUACACUUUUAUUGGAGCUAUUAGUUCCAAAUUUAUGUUCUCAGGCGCUAUAAUCCCCACCUGUGGAUCUGUGGAAUAUCUUGAUCUUGCGUGUGGGAGUAUUUAUGGUUGUCAGUUGUUUUGAUGUUCAAUAGAACACUUUGAGAAAGACUGUAAUUUUUGGCAAAAUGCAUUGAUGUUUAUUUCUUUUAUGGUUUUAAUCUCUAUUUUCAAUAAAUUUAGUUAUUUUAACCAUAUUUGGACCUGCCUGAUUUUGUAGCGGAGAGCUGAUUUCCCACAGCUAAACUCCACCAAGUACUUUAAGAGGAUGCAGGAACAAGUAAUAAAUCCAAUAGAAUAUCCAGCACAAUCAGCAAUACAAUCCAAUAAUAUCCCAUCACUUUACCUUAGAGAGGGUUCAGAGAAGGGCUACUAAACUGGUUCAUGGAUUGCGGGAUAAAACUUACCAGGAAAGGUUAAAGGAUCUUAACAUGUAUAGCUUGGAGGAAAGACGAGACAGGGGGGAUAUGAUAGAAACAUUUAAAUAUAUAAAGGGUAUCAACACAGUAAAGGAGGAGACUAUAUUUAAAAGAAGAAAAACUACCACAACAAGAGGACAUAGUCUUAAAUUAGAGGGACAAAGGUUUAAAAAUAAUAUCAGGAAGUAUUACUUUACUGAGAGGGUAGUGGAUGCAUGGAAUAGCCUUCCAGCUGAAGUGGUAGAGGUUAACACAGUAAAGGAGUUUAAGCAUGCGUGGGAUAGGCAUAAGGCUAUCCUAACUAUAAGAUAAGGCCAGGGACUAAUAAAAGUAUUUAGAAAAUUGGGCAGACUAGAUGGGCCGAAUGGUUCUUAUCUGCCGUCACAUUCUAUGUUUCUGUGUUUCCCCAAUCACUGGACGACACACAGUAUUAGGAGUAGAACUGAACUUUUAAACACACAACCUUCUUUUAAAGCAUUCUCCCAUGCAAGGGAGGGAUUUACAGUAAUACACGAAUUGCCACCCACACAUCCCCUCCCCUUAGUGUGACACAUAAUCCCAUUAUGCAGGACACAGUUCCCCUGGAUUUCUGGAUGUACCCCUAAACCUAGGAGUACCCAUUUAAAUAUUACAUCCCCUGGUAGCCCUGAUCUGGGUGAGACACAUAUCCAAAAAUCACCCAGAUCAGAUCAGGGGUUCAGGAGUUAUGGGGGUUUAAAGUUUUGUGGAGGUCCCUUUAGGCCCACUGAAGCAUGGCUUUCCAGCCCAAACCAGGGCAACGUACCUCGGACGGAGGAUGCCGGUGAGCGUGGAAAGGAUGCGCCCGUGGCUCGACCGGUAUCCUAGGCGUCGAGACUCGCAAGUCUUAUUGGAUGGGUUCUCGGUUGGGUUUUGGAUCCCCUUUGUGCCUUCAUCCUCACCGACCUUUGCCGGUAAUUUGCGGUCGGUGGUGUGGAAAGAAACCAUUUUGGGGGACAAGCUUGAGAAGAAGGUUCGUCUGGGUCGUAUGGCGGGCCCCUUUGAUGGCCUUCCUUUUCCCAAUUUGCAGGUCUCUCCACUGGGCUUGGUUCCCAAAAAGGAGCCGGACGCUUUUCACCUCAUUCACUACCUGUCAUAUCCCUCGGGCGGGUCGGUGAAUGACGGGAUUGAUAAGGAGGUGUCUAGGGUCAGGUAUGCCUCCUUCCAACUAGUCUGGCAGUGUGCCUGGGACAACACCCUGCUGGAGAACAGUGGGACAGGAAACGGGGGAGGGGUACACCUUCCUAUACACAAUCUAUACACAGUCUAAUAGAAGUCCAUACACUGUUACUUAGAGUUUUGUGUACUCCAGGCACAGGAAAAUCUCUGCAGGGCCAACAAUCAAUAAAAGGGAAUGGGACAGCUACAGAUUUUUUUCAGAAGAUACUGACUUCAUAUUCCUUGGUGGGGAACAUACCACCUAAGCAAUAACGAUAGAGCAAAACCCAUUUUUUUGCUCUCCACUAGUGAGUAUAUCUCCUUUUAUCACCUAUAUUUAUCUUGCUACAGAGAGCAUUAUAAAUCUAUAUAUUUUAUUCCUUUAUAUAUGGUGAAUAUCCUGGUGACCCUUUGCUGAUACACUCAUGUGCACUGACAAGCUUAAAUCCUGAAUACCUUGAGUUAGGAUGCUCAUACCACACCGGCUACUAAAACAACUAUCAACCGUGAAUAAUCCCACAUGCUAGAUCAAUAUAUUCUACAGAUCUAUAGGUGGGGAUUAUACCGCUCAAGCGCAUGUAUUUGGAGCUAAUUAAUAGCUCCAAAACAGUGUAAGUGCUUUUCUUUUUAUUUAUCUCACCAACUAUCUGAAAAUACUACACCAUAUUUUGUUUUUGUCCUUUCAUUUUGCAAAUGGAAUUUUCCUGAUUGGAUUUUGAGGAUACUUUUACGGCUUUGCUUCCAUCUGUCCCUUUUCCACACCAUCGACGACCAGAAAGAAGAUACUCUGGUUUGCUUUGUUCAAGCUACAUAUAUGCACUACAAACACGUGCUAGAGACCUUACCUAUUUUUUUUUGUCUGUAGGGUCCAAAUCAAAAAUGAUCCCUUUCUAUAUGGAGAGAGACGUUGAGUUAGGCAAAAGACAUGAAGCCAUGUAAGUAUGGACCUAUACGUUGACUCAUGUCAUUAGGUUUUGGCUUUAUAGGAUUACUAAUAUAUUAAAGGAACACUCCAAAGUUAGAAAAAUAUGUUUGUUUUACAUAGUUUUUAUUUUGAAAUGCCAUUUGGGAUCAUACAUUCUACUAACUGCAAAAAUACUGAUUUGGUUGCCUACGCAGAGGCAUAGCAAGUCAACAUUAUGCAACAUAAGCCUGUGUUCAGAAACAGAGGCGAGAAAAUCGUAAUUUAAAGGUGAGACUGUUGUAGUGUAGCGGUAUAGUGACUAGAGCAGGUGUCAUUGCUAGGUAUGUGACUUGUAUGGUAUAUGGUUCCCAAAUUAACAGUACAUCAAGCAGUUCGAUCGAAAACGUCUCAUAAAAUAAAGCAGCAAAAUAUUGAUCCUUACAGUUAAAAGUAACAGUUGAGAUACUGGAUGAACAUAACAGUAGUGAUAUUAAUGAGACCAUAUUCGCUAGGGCGUAUUAAUGCAAUCCCCGUAUUCCCCUAUUAGUUAGGCAGACAAGUAAAAGUAUGUGCCAUCUGCAGUUGACUUGCUGCUGUAAUCAUGGAGAUAUAUUGGAUCAAUACAUCUCUAUGGAGAGCGUGAAGAUGCAAAUUAUCUUCCUGCAAAGAUUGCAGGACUGCUCAAGGCCCUAUAGAGGCUGUCUGAGUGACAGCUGUUAAAAUUGGUCUUGGGAAGCAAUGUAAACACUGCAAAAAUGCAGUGUUUGCAAUGCUGUGGCUGCAGAGACAAGCUCUUUGCGCCAGAAUCUUUAACAUUAAGCUGUUGUGGUUCUGAUUCUUAAAGUGUCCCUCUAAUAAAAAUAAAUACAUAAAUUAUAUAUAUGUUAUGCCAAAUAACACAUUGUGAUAUUUUCACAUCUGUUUGAAUAAGGAAAUGAUCCAAGACUUCUUGGAGAUAUCUGGCAAUGAGAGCCACAGGGAAGUAUGGAGAAACUGUAUGUACUAUAGCAAAAGGUAGUCUUGUGAAUAAAAACAUAAAACAGUUACCAUCACAAUUCUAAUUAUUGAUUAGUGUUAAAAACAGUAUACACAUACUUAUAUAAGGAGCUGACAAUCCCAACAGGCAAUAUACUACACAGCUGAAAAAGUAACGUAAAAUGAAAAGAAAAUGUUUAAAAAUAAAGUGAAAAAUACAAAAUGAGAAAAUAUGGCAUUAGAAACAUUUGUCAAGGGAAACACCUAAUACAAUCUUAGGACUAAAACCGAGUCAUUGCCCCCCAGUACUUAAUACGAUUUCCCUUGACCAGUAUUGAGAAAAUACUUGAAAAGCAGUCUUUGAAGCUUGUUAGAUCCAUAUGUAAAAGCUGGUACUGACAAUGCAUGCCGUAGAACAUAGAGCACAAUGCAAAACACCACAUGUAAAAAAAUAAAUAAAAAAAUAAAUUUUCUCACUCAGAGAUGCACUUUUCACAGUCAUGUAUGGAUGGCCAUCUACAUGAAUACAGUAUAAAAGAACAGUGUAUCAAAUUGCAGUAUACGUAUGGUAACCUGAAUACCACAUAGAUGCUUACUUAAAGAGUUCAUAGUUCUUUCGAAGGCCCUGUAGUGGGUUGCUGACUGUCAUUACUACCAUGUUUAAUGACAUUGUUAAAAUUGUAUGUAUCACCUCAUCAUCAACAAAUAUCAUUGUAAACAGAGAAGACUCUUGUUACCAGAUUUAACAAAAUUCACUAUCAUAAGAAAUGUGAUAAAAAUGAGAAGUGAAAUUAAAUACAGCUGCAUGUAUGGUAAACAUGAUUGUUUGGAUCAAAUACAAAUGUUUGAUUAAUUUGUCUAUCUACUCCUUCCAAAUUAAUAAGUAUAUGCGUGCACGCUCCCUAGAGUAAUUCACACAGGGCACAAGUUGUUCUGUUCAAUAAAAUCCCCAGGAGUGGUUCAUUCCAAGGGGUUGGACCCUUUUUUUUUCUUUUUUUUUUUAUUCUUUAUUUUUUUGUGCAUGGAUGGUAUAGAUAACAUUCAGUCUAGCAAUGCCACAUCAGCUUUUGCCAGAUUUUUCAGAGACAUAGAAUUAUAAUUGUAUGGCAUGAGGAACUGUGCACAUUUUUUUUAAAGUAAAGAUGAGGAACAGUAGCAUAUUGUAAGUCAUGUGUGUGUUGAGUGGUUAUGUGGCUUAGCCAUUGACUAUGCUAUGAGAGGUGAAAUGUAUAAUAGAAAACAAAAGAUACAACAGAGGUAUAACGGUUAACUGACGCGUCCUUAUUUUUAGCAUAUUAUGAUGUACGAUGUAGCAGGGAAGGUUACAGUGCUAUGUGAUGAUGCAUUUGAGUAGCUACGCUGUAGAAAGCAGUGUAGGUUAUAUAUCAGUAGUAGCGUGCCUGUAAUUUGGCCCAGAAGCAUUCGAAGAUUACAAUAAUGGGGUCUCUUGCUUGGUUCCUGGUGUCUGCCAUACCAGGAUGUUGUCGUUGCUUGUUAGACACUAUUGUGUCUGCUUGAUCUGCCAUCUUGGGUGCACCCGUUUCCCUCUCGCUUGUGGAGGUCUUUUUGCCUGUCGGGGUUCGGGGCAAAUCCACCUGGCGAGGACCGUGAUAUGCCCCACCGGUCCAUAUGGGGGGGUGCGUGGUUUGCACUCGUGCAUUGCGGAUGGCGUCUGGCGGGAAGGUGGCCAUCCAUCCCCCGUGCCUCCACUAGGCCUCAGUUUGCUGCCGCAUUUCCCGGUCGGGUCGGGUGUUAUGUGUUGUGUCGGCAUGACCGUGGCUGCUUUCUCUUGCCCAUGGGCUGGUGCGUGAGUGGAUAGCAGCAUUUGGUCUUGGGUUAUCUGCUAAAUUUGGGCCUGCACUGCAGGAGCUCAUGUAGAAUGCGUCUAGUCAGUUACUCGGCUCCGCUCCGCUCCUCGCUGGGACCCUUUUUUAAAGCAGAAAUACGUCAUGUACAGAUUCACAGUUAACAUAAAGUAUACAUUCAACAAUUGGUUAAAAGUUAGGAGGUCUUGUCUAAACCCACCAUACAGGAACUUAUGUCAUCAUUACCGAGCUCUCCCACCCACAUUCCAGCUCCAUCUUGGUUACACAAUGGGAGGGGGAGUGAGUAGUUACUGAACAAAGAAGGGGGAAGGGUAUGAAGUGGAAACAGUUACUUUAACAGCGAUCCUCCAUUUUGUUACACUUGGCAGAGAGCUGUAAGUUGCACAAAGGAAGUGGGGGAGGGGUUAGUAAAGGAAGCUGUUCCUUUAACACAGGAAUCUGUUACACGAGGCUUGCUGGAUGGGAAGGGAAGCAGGAUGGGGAGGAGUUUACAGAGAAAAUAGUUACUGAGCACACAGAGGGGGAAGGGAAGCUUUUUACUGAAUAGGAACUCAUGUACAGAAAAAUAGACAUUUUAUCCAUUCAAGUAUUUUGUCCAUAACAUGAUUACACUGGAAAUCAUAACAUAGCAAAACAUGAUUGAUACACAACAAACAGUUGUCUAUCAAUCAUGCAAAAUAACUUGGAAAGCAAGUGAUGGGGAAAAAUAUGAGGGACUACCUUUUUGUGAAAAGCAGAAUAAUGGUAGCGUAAGAGUAUACUUUCAUUAGACCAUAAUACCCAAGUUAUAGAAAGUUGUAUGGCUAAUUCUGUACACACAAGAAUGCUGUAUAGUCCUACAAAAGACAAGAUAGUGGAUUAACUGUAACAAUAACAGCUGCAAAAGAAACAAAAUACUCACAAGUACACAAAUAUGUAAAACAAAAUGCUUGAUCUAGAAGGACCAGAGGAGGCAGAGCAAUUCUCGUCUACAAGUUAAAGCUAGGCUAAAAGGAGAACCAUUAUUAAGAGUUGCAUCUUUGAAAGAUUAUACCUCAUUAAAUUCAUUAGUUUGUAAAGCUACAAGAACAGAUACAUUCAUGGGAAACAAUACACCCUCUUUGAAUUCUGUGGUUUUAGAUAUUUAACAGGUCUUAAAAUUAGGUAAAUAAAACCUAUGAUGAUCAAUAACACAUGACGUAUUACACCAAUAAAGCCAAAAUGGAGAAGACAUGUGUGAAAGACAGUUCACCAUUACUGCUUCCAUAGGAAUUAAAAGGUUUAGUAGCAGACAGGUGCUGCUAGUAAAAGGCCCUUGAAUAAUUGAUAAUCAGCAAGUGUGAUCAUCACCUCUAUAAAAGUCAAAGUUUUAACAGCUUGCUGGUAUGAAGCUUUCAGGUGUGUAUUAACACAACGUCAAUAUGGAAAGUCCUCAGCAAUGAUCUUAGAGAAGUAAUUGUUGCCGCCCAUCACACUGUGAAGGGUCAUAAGGCCAUUUCCAAACAAUUUAUUGUCCAUCAUUCUACAGUGAGAAAGACUAUUCAAAAGUGGAAAACAUUUGAGGCAAUUGCCAAUCUUCCCAGGAGUGGACAUCCCAACAAGUUCACCCCAAGGUCAGACUGUGCAAAGCUUAGAGAAAUUGCAAAAAAAAAAAAACAAGAGUUACAUCUCAGACUCUACAAGCCUCAGUUAGCAUGUUAAAUAUUAAAGUUCAUGACCGUACAAUUAGAAAAGACUGAACAAGUAUGGUUUGUUUAGAAGGAUUGCCAGGACAAAGCCUCUUCUCUCUAAAAUGAACAUGACAGCACAGCUGAACAAACCACGAGACUUCUUGAACAAGGUCCUUUGGACAGACGAGACCAAAGUGGAGAUAUUUGAUCAUGAUGCACAGCGCCACGUUUGGCGAAAACGAAAACUGCAUAUCAGCACAAAUACCUGUUAAGGAUUUUGGCUUGUUUUGCAGCCACAGGACCUUGGAACCUUGCAGUCAUUAUUGAGUCAGCCAUGAACUCCUCUUUAUACCAGAAUACUUUGUAGUCAAAUAUGAGGCUGACAGCUAAAGCUUGAUUGAGUCAUGGAAAAGGACAAUGAUCCCAAGCACACUAGCAAUUUUUCAACAAAAUGGCUGAAAAAGAAUCAAGGGGUUGCCAUAGCCCAGUCAAAGACUAGACCUGAUUGAGAUGCUGUUGCAGGACAUUAAGAGAGCUGUGCAAAAACAAAUGCUAGCAAACCUCAAUGAACUGAAGCAACGUUGUAAAGAAGAGUGGGCCAAAAUACCCCCACAACAAUGUCAGAGACUGAUAGUCAUACAAAAAAUGUUUACUUCAAGUUAUUACUGCUAAAAGUAUUGAAUCAUACGGUGUACUUAGUUUUUCACACAUGGCUUCUCCAUUUUGGCUUUAUUUUUGUUAAAUAAAUCAUGAAACAGUGUAAUAUGUCCUGUGUUAUUGUUUAUCCGAGGUUGUAUUUAUUUAAUUUUAAGACCUUUUAAUGAACAGAUGAUUAUGUCCUAAUAUGUAAAACCACAGAAUUCAAUGAGAGUACUUUUUUCCACCAUGACUGUAUAUUGGUCUCUUUAUGCUUGAGCUACAGCUCAACUUUUCAGUAGUCAGCUGGAUAUCACCUGUGUGUUCACUUAUCCUCUCUAAUAAUAUGUUCUUGCCAUAUGAAUUGUGCCACGUGGGUAUUUCAGUGGGCACACCACAUAAGCCAAGUUCCCAGUGUAAUAGUUAGAAAACAACACCAGCUCCCAGGCAAAAGCAAGAUGCCAAAUUUUGUUCACUGCCCAUAAAGAUCCAAGGCAUUCAUAGUUGAACGUAAUAAAGACAUAAUAUUUCCUAUACCAAGAUACAUAUCUUUCCCUACACUAAUAAACAAGCUUAUAUAUAUACAGUUGCAAGAAAAAGUAUGUGAACCCUUUGGAAUAAUAUGGAUUUCUGCACAAAUUGGUCAUAAAAUGUGAUCUGAUCAUCAUCUAAGUCACAACAAUAGAGAAUCACAGUCUGCUUAAACUAAUAACACACAAAGAAUGAAAUGUUGCCAUGUUUUUAUUGAACACACCAUGUAAACAUUCACAGUGCAGGUGGAAAAAGUAUGUGAACCCUUGGAUUUAAUAACUGGUUGAACCUCCUUUGGCAGCAAUAACUUCAACCAAACGUUUCCUGUAGUUGCAGAUCAGACGUGCACAACGGUCAGGAGUAAUUCUUGACCAUUCCUCUUUACAGAACUGUUUCAGUUCAGCAAUAUUCUUGGGAUGUCUGGUGAAUCGCUUUCUUGAGGUCAUGCCACAGCAUCUCAAUCGGGUUGAGGGCAGGACUCUGACUGGGCCACUUCAGAAGGCGUAUUAUCUUCUGUUUAAGCCACUCUGUUGUUGAUUUACUUCUAUGCUUUGGGUCAUUGUCCUGUUGCAGAACCCAUCUUCUGUUGAGCUUCAGCUGGUAGACAGGUAGUGUUGUGUGUUUCUUCCAAACAACUCAACUUUUGUGCGAGGCAUCAUUCACAUCAGGCAAUGCUUCUUGUGAAAAGCAAACCCAGAACUGGUGUGUGUUUUUUAUAGGGCAGGGCAGCUGUAACCAACACCUCCAAUCUCAUCUCAUUGAUUGGACUCCAGUUGGCUGACAUCUCACUCCAAUUAGCUCUUGGAGAUGUCAUUAGUCUAGGGGUUCACAUACUUUUUCCACCUGCACUGUGAAUGUUUACAUGGUGUGUUCAAUAAAAACAUGGCAACAUUUCAUUCUUUGUGUGUUAUUAGUUUAAGUAGACUGUGAUUCUCUAUUGUUGUGACUUAGAUGAUGAUCAGAUCACAUUUUAUGACCAAUUUGUGCAGAAAUCCAUAUCAUUCCAAAGGGUUCACAUACUUUUUCUUGCAAGUGUGUAUAUAAAUAUAAAUAUAUAUAAAUAACUAGUGCAUGCACAGCAUUAGUGUUAUAUUAAUUAUUACAAAAACAAGAUUAGCCACAAUCCUUAAAAGUCAUGUAUAAAUACAUGAAAGAUUCCUUCAAAGAAGAAUAUACCUAAAAAAAAGUAAAGUAAAAAAUUAUUUACUAUAAAAGGAGUUUGAGAUACAAGUGUUGGAGAGCGGGAACCUUUUAACCCCUUAAGGACACAUGACAUGUGUGACAUGUCAUGAUUCCCUUUUAUUCCAGAAGUUUGGUCCUUAAGGGGUUAAACGUCUUAUAUUCUAAAAUGAGGAAAACAAAAUAACAUUACACAUAUAAAUAAAACAAUAAAAAAUGGCACAGUUCAACAUCUACGUUCAACCCCCUGGGAUACAUAGUAUCCAGCUUAUAAAUCCACUCAAUUGCCUGUGCACCAAAUUUGUUAUUAAAUAAUCUCCUUUCUGAACAUUUUAAAUCCCUAAAAAACAAGCUCACAGGAAUUAUUUAAAAUAAAACAAAAACGGAGCUGAACACACUGGUAUUUAAAACCCCUUUUUUAUAUUUCUCACAUGUUCUUCCACUUUGACAUGUUGAGAAUAUGUUGCCCUACCUACUUAACAGAAUCCAAAGCACAGGAUAGCUAAUAUGUCACAUUUCUACUGUUUCACACUAUGAGCUGUCCAAUACUGUAAACCUUCUAAUCCUUUUUGUAAAUUUAAAAAAAUGUUCCUUGGUCACAGAGUUAUACAAUUCUUUGGAUGCUUGGUGUUAACUGUAGUCUCACUAUUACAAGAAAAAUAAAAUGACAGGAAAAUAAAAAUAAAUAAAUAAAGAUUUGGAGAUUUCUCUGUGCAAGGCUUUUGUAUGAAAUACUCUGGAAAAUAUAACCCUCAUCAUGUAAUUUUAUACUUAGAAUGGCUGAAAAACAUCAACUUUUAGAGAAAAUUAUGCUCUAUCAAAAACAAGAAGCAGAUGAAAGAAAAGCAUACCGCCUAGGAACGAAAGAAGCACAUAUUAGAAACCAGUCUAUCUUACAAGUAAGUUUUUUAAGUUUAUUGCUACUCUUUCAGAUCUUGAUUUUGAAAACAUAUCAGUCCCUUAAGGACUGAGGCAGUUGUGCAAGUUGUGAUCAAAACAAAACGUAAACAAAAACUUGAAUUUGUGCUAUAUGUCUAUUCAGGCAAUACAUUUUACUGUUUUGAAACACUAAUAUUUGUGUUCCGAGUAAAACAGUACCCCCCCAUAUACAGGUUUUAUCGUGUCUUGGAAAGUUACAGGGCUAAAUAUAGUGCUAGCAAAUUAAAUUCCCUGGACUUUGGCCUGGGUUGUCAGGCAGGUCCCGCAAAUUGUAAUUAAUAAAAUGACCUAAUUGUGUAAAAUUAUUACAUAAAUAUAUACGUAGAAUUAAUAUAUCUAUAUAUAUAUAUAUAUAUAUAUGUAUAUGUAUGUAUUUGUGUGUAUAUAUAUAUAUAUAUAUAUAUAUAUAUAUGUGUGUGUGUAUAUAUAUAUAUAUUUUUUUUUUACAAUUAUAUAUAUAUAUUUUAAAAAAAAUAUAGUGAUAUAUACUUAUGUAUAUAUAUAUUAUUUCGUUCCACAUGUAUUUUGAUAUCAAAAUAUAUAUAUAUAUGUAUAUAUAUAUAUAUAUUCAUUUUAAAAUACAGUAAGAACGAAUUUACAAAAUAUAUAUAUAUAUAUAUAUAUAUAUAUAUAUUUUUUUUUUUUAACAUAUUUAUUUUAUAUUAUAUAUAAAUAUAUAUAAUGAAAAUUAUAUAUAUAUAUAUUUAAUCAAUAUGAUUGUACAUGUAUUUUGAUAUUAAUAUAUAUUUAUAAUUAUAUAUAUUAAAAUACACUUAGUAUAUAUAUAUCUAAGUAUAUAUUUUAUUUUAAACUGUAUCUUGAACUUUUAUUUUACCUUUUUCAGACAGCAGGGGCAGCAAGUCAUUACAGGCACUCCCCCUGCUGGCAUUGCUAUGGACGGCUAUGCCGUCCAUGUGAUUGUGAGGUCCUCGCAAGGACCUCGCGAUCACAUGGCCCAGGGGUGCCGAAGAGGAAGGAGGGGGACUCCCUGGGCUCCCAGAUGAGUCUCCACACCGCGAUCGCCGGCGUGGGAUCGCCAACGACCGGGUAAGUAGAAAGGACGGUUUGGGCAUUCUAUGCCGCCCGCCGGCAUUUAGAGCCGGGUCCCCAAGGACGGCAUAGAACGCUCACCGUCUUUAAGGGGUUAAAGAGAUGUUAUAUGAAAGCAUUUUGAAUCCACUGUAACUAUUUUUGUUUGAUAGCAUAUAUACAGUAUAUACAGGUAGGUAGAUACUAAAAAGAAUGUGGUGAGGCAAUUUCCCACAGUGCAAGUAUAAAAAAAAAAUUGUUAUGCAUCACCUGCAUAUCUUAAGGUAGACUUUGAUUCUGGGCAUAGAAACUCAUUAAAUCAUGUUUCCACGACUAUUCCAGAGUUUCCAACUUGACAUGCAAAUGAGCACAGACAGGCAUCAUAUUUCAGACUUCAAACUGCAGCGCUGCACAAAUCCCAGGCGCCAGGUCGCCUUCGUGCCUAGGAAUUAUGUCUUGGCGCUAGGAAUAUGUGAGCCUGUUGCCUCAGAGGUUGGCAGGAUGCCGGCUGGGGAAUUGUGGAGGUGGGUGGCAAGAUAUGGAGAUUAUGGAAGCGGGCGGCAUGCUGGAAGGUCGUGGAGGUGGGCGGCUAGCUGCGCGAAUGGUAGAUGGGCAGUGAGGGAGCUGUGAUGUCCCUGCUCUGCUCCCUCGCACGCCAUUUAGUGAUUCCGGAGCCGACAUAUGCAGUCAUAUUCCGUCUUGUCUAUGGUAAAUUGAUAAAAGACCAAAGCAUCCACGCGUUUCGUCUCAGCAAGAGACUUAUCCAUUUACCAUAGACAACAAGUAUUGUUUAUUUAAAGGACCGUUAUAGGCACCCAGACCACUUCAGCUCAAUUAAAUGGUUUGGGUGCCAGGUUCCCCUAGUUUUAACCCUGCAAGGUUAAGCCAGCCUCUAAUGGCUGUCUCCCUGACAGCCACUAAAGGCCGCUUCCACAAUUUACACGGAGUAAAUUGCACUUAUUUGAUGCUGGACGUCCUCAUUGCAAUCAGAAUUUAUUUUAUGUUCAUUUAUGGUACUUAUAUAGUGUUUUUUAUUAUUAAGAGUUAUAUUUUCGCAAUUACUGUUGUCUGUUUGUAUAUACAUUAAAUAUUAUUAUAUUAUAUAUUAUUGGUUCAUAUUUUAUCGAUAGGAGCGCACACACUAAUACUUUUUGAGUAUUAAUCUUCUUUCAAGUCGCUCUCUUAGGUGUGUAGCUGCCCACCUUGAUUUGGUAUUAGGUCAUCCCCUAUUUUAGUUUUGUAUUUCGUACUGAAUUUCUGCAGAUAACCUUUGUCAUGAACGCACCCUACUCCAAGAGUGUGCGUGACGUAGUUGUGGUGGUGAAAGGGUUAAGGUUCACUAUUUGUCUGCACUAGACCGGAAAUAAUGAUAAAAUCCCCCUUAACACCACCCACACUUAAUUAUAAUAAUAUAAAUAUUACUAUUUUAACGCUGCCACCACUAAGACAAUUUAUAAAUGGGGUGCCUUGGCUCCCCAGGUAACUGAAUACUAAAAACCCAUCAUAUACAACUUGGCACAAUAUUUAAGCAAUAGCAAAACACUAAUUAGUCUCUUCGGGUAACAUGAUUUUUUACCAUACAAAGGCAGAGCUUAAUAAAGGAAUAUUUAUUAUGAGCAAAAAUAGUCACAGUGCAUACAAAAAUAUAGAUAACAAUCAAAUUAGUUACACCAACAACACAUAAAAACAAAAGGGAUAAAAUGACAGAUAUCCUAAUCGCUUACUCAGGUUUUCAAAGUAAAACUUCUUCCCAGGGGGUCUCUGGCAAGGAAGAUGGUGACUCACAAUAAGAUUUUGGCCCCAAGCAAAUACAAUACACAUUUUAGUACCAUUAGAUAUAUACCCUGUGUUUUACCAAGCCCGGCCCAGAGGUGGAGAUAAGGCAUGCCUAUAGAGACAAUAAGUGAUCACCCCUUGGUUUUAUUUCCUCUUGUGUACUUGCCAUAGAAAUAAUAAUCGCAUCUAUGAAUUUGUUACCAUUUUUCCAUUCCAUAGAUAAGUCACACUUCUUACUUGUGACCCAAUAUAGUGGACAUCACAAUCCCUUCCCAUAUGGUUAAGCUACACCAAUCAUGUUUAGGCUUGAUUAGAAGAUUGUGCUUGUCCCAUUCUAAAUAUAAUAAAAAUGAGUCUUAAUUAUUAAUCUGUGAGUAAGUAUUCAUAUUUCUUUUGGAUAUGAUACUGGAACACAAGGUUUUUUUUUUUCCUUAAAAGCUAAUGACCAUUCAUAUCAAAUGACUCUCUAUCUAAGAGGGAAUCUAGACAUAUGGCAAAUUAGAGAGUUAGUUUAUAUUUAAACCAGACUUCCAGGCCACUUAUGUGUGACUUCUCACACCUUACAGAGUAGGUCUGUUGGGGUCCCAGCUUCAAAGAGGAAUUAAGGUUGUAAGCUCUGACCUCAAAUUUACCCCUUUUGGAAUUGACAAUACAACGCAGCCAGUUCAUCUAUGCACUACACAAAUGACAUUAAAUGACAAUAUUCAAUAGUGCAACAAUGAAUUAUGAACCCGUGCCAUGACAACCUUAGCAACAGACUGUUUUUAAAACAGAUUUGUUUUUUUUAAAGUCUGUGUAUACAAUAAAGCAGAUUUUAUCACAUUAAGAAGAUCUCAGAGUGAGAGUAUGUAUAUCUCCUCUCCGGCAUUGGUUGUGGAGGCAAUCAGGGGUGCCCGGCACAUGCCAGUUUGAUUUCUUAUAAAGAGGAGGCACCAGGGCACUCAUGGCACCACACCCACUACAGUAUGCUGUAGUGGUGAUGGUGCUUGGAGUGUUUCUUUAGUCUAUGCAUUGCAUCUAAAGUGUGUGUCUGGAAUACCUUUUUAGUAUCAUUGAAGACUCAUUAUAUUCAUCUCUUGUGCAUGUAAAACAUUUCCAAUGUUCCUCUAGUAAUUUUAUGCAGAAAAGCACUAAAUUUAAUAGAACAUAUUUGCAGUGGAGAUAAAUUGGUUUUAUUCAUAUAUUUAUUGGUACUCUAGUGGUAACCUUAACCUUUGUCUUAUUUUCUUUAUCCCCAGGAUUUGCAAAUAGCUGAAGACAGGUUUAAGCAAAUGGAGAGAUCAAGUCCCUACCCAACAGUUAUUCAUUUGGAGGUUAGUGUGAAAUGGCAUUUAUUAGCACGUCAGGGACCUAUGUCAUGAUCCUUAGUAUCAGGUAUGUUGGUGCAAAUCUAUUGUGUUGAUUGCUAAAUCUAACGAGAUUGCAAAAAACUCCAAAAUACAUCUUUCAACGUUUGGGUUUUAGGCAUGUACAGUAUUAAGUAUUUUUAAGGCUUAAAUUAUUACCCUUUUUCUGAAGCUGGGCUUUAUUUACUAGGUUCCCCCUUAUAAACCUAAAAAUAAAGAAUUAGACUUACCUGGUAUCCAGCAUCGGGCAAAGGUUCCAGCGCUGCCUUCCACGCUUCAGUCUGACGUCAGCGGUGCCCAAUCGUGGUCCUGUAAUGAAAAAUCUCAAUACUUCUGUCUUCAGCACCCUGAGAUAACAUUUGCACAGAAUUGACAUUAGUAUCACAUUAAGUCAUGUGUGCUGGGUGUGCAUUUACAGGCUCCUACCACCAUUACCACGUCUCAAAGAAGAAAUAUAUAUAACAAACCUAAAAUCAGCUGAAUUUCAAACCACGAAUGUUCAGUUUAUGUGCAGGUGUGUAAACUAAUGGCAUCCUGUUGUGCACUGAAAUUUUUCUAGAGCAAUUUAAGUAAAACUGUGCAUAUACCGUGGAUUUUACAAAGGAUAUUGACUACUCUAAAUGUAAUUUUUUUAAAACUUUUUUUUAUAUAUAACCUGACCUUUACUUGCAUAAUCAGUAUCUUUAUAUAGUAAUAAAGAGUGAAAAAGAUACUUACCCUUUUCACUUAGAUUUCUGAAUGGGGUUCUAGUGAUAGGUAGAGAGUGCCUCCCCAUCUGAAAUUUCCUGAUUAAAUCCUUGCACCAACAAAGGAAGUAGACUUAUUGGGUGCCAUCUUUAAAAGUUUGGGGCUAAACCAUUUGUUAGCAGUUUCACCUCUUAAGGAGAGACAGCGCCUGGUUCUUCCUCACAUCAUACCAACUUAAUUGGGAUGAAGUUAUUAUGGUGUGUUCACCCUUUAAGAUGAAUCUUUACCAUUGUAUGCAGUUUUCACUCCCAGAUCUCCAUUAUAUUUCUUAGGAGCACUACUGGGAGUUCGUGGAGGAGGAACUUCCCAAGUGGGAACAAUUUCUUUUAGGAAAAACGACAUCUCCUUUUGGCAUGAAGAAAAAGCAGCAAUCAAGACAAAAAUUUAUAAAUUCACAAACUAUGCAUUUACCAAAGGAAGUAAAAGUGUCCACAUUGGGAUCGAAAUCAAAAACAUUUCCAGUGUAACAUCCAAGUAAAAGAAAC
rnacentral:lncRNA from 1 species